rnacentral:rRNA from 1 species
AUGACUCAACUGUUUGAGAUCCGAGAAAAAUGGGCUAAGCCGUACUUCAAAGGAGUAUUAUGUGCUAAGAUGACAAGUACCCAGUGUAGCGAGAGUGCGAACCAUAUGCUGAAGAGCUAUGUACCACCUGGAUCUCCAAUGCAUAUGUUCGUGAGGCAGUACAUGAGGCUGCAGUUCGACAAGUCAUCCGACGAGAGCUACGCGGAAAAGAUGAGUAAAAUUGGAGGAGUUGUGUUGCGAACAAACUCAUCCAUUGAGCUGGAUGCAAGCAAGAUCUACACCAGAUCCAUGUUUGAGUAG